rnacentral:rRNA from 1 species
UAAUUUGAGAGUUUGAUCCUGGCUCAGGACGAACGCUGGCGGCGUGCCUAAUACAUGCAAGUCGAACGAACUCUGGUAUUGAUUAGUGCUUGCAUCAUGAUUUACAUUUGAGUGAGUGGCGAACUGGUGAGUAACACGUGGGAAACCUGCCCAGAAGCGGGGGAUAACACCUGGAAACAGAUGCUAAUACCGCAUAACAACUUGGACCGCAUGGUCCGAGCUUGAAAGAUGGCUUCGGCUAUCACUUUUGGAUGGUCCCGCGGCGUAUUAGCUAGAUGGUGGGGUAACGGCUCACCAUGGCAAUGAUACGUAGCCGACCUGAGAGGGUAAUCGGCCACAUUGGGACUGAGACACGGCCCAAACUCCUACGGGAGGCAGCAGUAGGGAAUCUUCCACAAUGGACGAAAGUCUGAUGGAGCAACGCCGCGUGAGUGAAGAAGGGUUUCGGCUCGUAAAACUCUGUUGUUAAAGAAGAACAUAUCUGAGAGUAACUGUUCAGGUAUUGACGGUAUUUAACCAGAAAGCCACGGCUAACUACGUGCCAGCAGCCGCGGUAAUACGUAGGUGGCAAGCGUUGUCCGGAUUUAUUGGGCGUAAAGCGAGCGCAGGCGGUUUUUUAAGUCUGAUGUGAAAGCCUUCGGCUCAACCGAAGAAGUGCAUCGGAAACUGGGAAACUUGAGUGCAGAAGAGGACAGUGGAACUCCAUGUGUAGCGGUGAAAUGCGUAGAUAUAUGGAAGAACACCAGUGGCGAAGGCGGCUGUCUGGUCUGUAACUGACGCUGAGGCUCGAAAGUAUGGGUAGCAAACAGGAUUAGAUACCCUGGUAGUCCAUACCGUAAACGAUGAAUGCUAAGUGUUGGAGGGUUUCCGCCCUUCAGUGCUGCAGCUAACGCAUUAAGCAUUCCGCCUGGGGAGUACGGCCGCAAGGCUGAAACUCAAAGGAAUUGACGGGGGCCCGCACAAGCGGUGGAGCAUGUGGUUUAAUUCGAAGCUACGCGAAGAACCUUACCAGGUCUUGACAUACUAUGCAAAUCUAAGAGAUUAGACGUUCCCUUCGGGGACAUGGAUACAGGUGGUGCAUGGUUGUCGUCAGCUCGUGUCGUGAGAUGUUGGGUUAAGUCCCGCAACGAGCGCAACCCUUAUUAUCAGUUGCCAGCAUUAAGUUGGGCACUCUGGUGAGACUGCCGGUGACAAACCGGAGGAAGGUGGGGAUGACGUCAAAUCAUCAUGCCCCUUAUGACCUGGGCUACACACGUGCUACAAUGGAUGGUACAACGAGUUGCGAACUCGCGAGAGUAAGCUAAUCUCUUAAAGCCAUUCUCAGUUCGGAUUGUAGGCUGCAACUCGCCUACAUGAAGUCGGAAUCGCUAGUAAUCGCGGAUCAGCAUGCCGCGGUGAAUACGUUCCCGGGCCUUGUACACACCGCCCGUCACACCAUGAGAGUUUGUAACACCCAAAGUCGGUGGGGUAACCUUUUAGGAACCAGCCGCCUAAGGUGGGACAGAUGAUUAGGGUGAAGUCGUAACAAGGUAGCCGUAGGAGAACCUGCGGCUGGAUCACCUCCUUU